ensembl:lncRNA
CUGGAUAGUUCUUCUGGCAUUUGUCAACCUAAAUAAAGAGCAGGGCGAAGAGAGACCAGCACGUGGAGCACCAACAGCUAGAAACAACCACCGAGACGCAGGAACCUCCCAGGUUCCUAGAGUAGCCCUGGAAAUGACGCUGGGGGAGGUAAACCCCUGUCCGUUCGUGCGACCCCAGAGGCUAUAGUGUUCGCGGUCUUGUUUUUCUGGAAGUGGGCCUCCGCGAUCUCGGGAACCAACACCCCGAAUCCGGCGCCCAAGCAGGGAGGCCAGCUGCUUUAGGCGGCUCCAGAAAGGCCAGGCUUCGGAGCCUCUAACCUGAUGAAGGUGGGACUUCGGCAAAGUCGAGAAACCUAAGUCUGGGAAGAGUUGGUAUACCCAUGGCCCACGUUCUUGCUCAGAAGAAGCAGACUGCAAAAUUCUGGAGGUGACAAAGGGAAGAUGAAGGCACAUAAACACCUGCUCCUCCCCUCCAGACCCCAAAGCAAUUUCGGCGAGUUUUGGAAGGGAAUGAAGGUGACAACUGUGCUAGGACUCAUCUGGCCUGGGAGCAGAUGGCGCAGGCCUGGAUGUCGCUACCGGAGAAGGUCCAUCGGGAAGCAGCCUGGCCUCGCGGGCGGUGGACAAUGUGGAGGAGAGAGAAUUUCCAGGCAGCAGGAUUAUAAACAAAUUCACGCUGAGAAAUAGCCUGGUGACCUUAGCUAAAGUACAUAGUAAGAGCAGACGAGAUUCCUGGAGGAGCAGCAGCUAUUAUGCAUCAUAAUGAUGAAAGCCACAGAAUAAAGAGCAAGAAGGUAGAAGGAGCCUGAGAACUUCAUGACAUUCUUGGACAGUGGUGCCAACCUUGGAUGAUUUACCUCAGGAUUUUUGGUUAAAUAACAUAUAUUAACUCCUUUCUGUUUAACCCACUGGAGUUGAAUUUUCUGUUGCAGUGAGUACCAUCCUAACUGAUUAUCCUGGCUAAUAUGUAUUAGCACCUAUCAUGGGCCAGUGUAGUUCUAAGCACUUUAUGUACUAACUUUUUAAAUCCUCACAACGACCUUAUGAGAUAGGCCUAAGGUUCUCAAAGUGAGCCAGCAGCAUUAGCAUCACCUGGAACUUUGUUAGGAAUACAGAUUUAGGGUCCGGCUCCACACCUCCUGAAUCAGAAACUCUGGGAGUGGGGGCCCAGUAAUCUGUUUUAAGAAACCCUGCAGGCGAUUCUGAUACAUGCUAAAGUUUGACAGCUUUAUCUGUAGGUGAGGUAUUGUUGCUAUCCCUAUUUUACAUGUAAGGUAGACUGAGCUGAGUCUUGAGUCGCUUGCCCAAUGUUACACAACUAGUAAGACUAACUCCUAAAGCUGUCUGUAAAGUCAUGCCACAUGUUAAGAACGCCUACUCUAGAGCAGCAGUCUUCAAAAUUUGAAAGCGUACUCCUUUGAAAAAUUAUGUACCCCCUUGCACAUUUUUAGAUCGAUAUCUAAAAAUUUCACAUAAGUUCAAACAGUUGUAAAGAAUUAUUUCCAGUACAUUGUAAAUUGUGACAUUUUAAAAUGUGUUCAUCACUCUUCUAAAUGAAUCUAAAUACCAUAGUGAUUAUUUUGUAAAUGGACCGUCCAUUUAAAAAAGUAAAUUUUCUUUAACAUUUGAAAUUUUAUGUCCUUCUCUUGAACUCGUAUUUUCAUUCCCCUACCAACAAAAAUACAUCCUAUUGUAACACGCCUGUUUUGAUCUACCCUGUUGUUCUUCUCUGCAGCAAAAAGUACGAACAUUGAACUUAAUUUUUAAAAAAUUUCCAGUGAUCAUAUAGCUUUAAGAGUUAUAAGUAUACAAUCAAAUAAUUGUGACUGUAUUAUAUAUUUUGAUAAGUUAGUAGACAUACAAACUAAAAUCGAAUUGGAAAUCCAUCUCUUAAUGAGAUGGAUGGGACUUAAGAUUUUCCAAUUGAUUCAUGUAUCCAUGGAUGAAUGUUCCUUGUUGCAAGAAUGAGACAAGUUCAACAUCAAUUUUAUGUCUGUUUUUCAUUAUAGAUAUGAGAGAUUAUAUUCACAUAAAAAAGAGGAAUUAGGGCCAGCUCCACUGGUGCUCUGCUUUGGCGGCCUGGGUUUGGUUCCUAGGGACAGACCUACACUGCUCUGUUAGGAGCCAUGCUGUGCUGGUGGCCCACAUACUAAAAAAUAGAAGAAGAUUGGCAUGGAUGUUAGCACAGGGCAAAUCUUCCUCAGAAAAAAAAAAGAAAAGAAAAAUAAAGGAGUUUUGAAAUAGGAAUGCAAUUCUAAUUUUUCUAACUCCUGUAUUAACGCCAAAAUCACAUUAUAUAUCAUUAAAAAAAAGUUUUGUUAAUCUAUUACUGACAACUGGGUUAGAACCUCUUUCACUUUUGUGUAAAGCAAAUGUAAUAAACAGAAGCCACCUGGGUUGCAUAAGAUUUUGUUACCCAGUCAUUUAAGCCAUUCACUUUAUCACUGACAUCUUAUUUUAGGGUCCUGUUGUCAGAUGCUUCAAGGAGGUUUUGCAUCUUGGGGCAAGAUGAACGAUAAGAUAUGGGAUGGUUGAGAGUUAUCUCCUUUUUCCUUAAUGAGAAAAGAGUUGUGACAAAAGAGGAGGUGGGAAAGCAGAAAGUUUACUGGCAGAUCAGCCACAAGUGAGUCCCUGUGGAAGUGCAAGAUCAGGAAAUGGAUUCCCUUGAAACUGUCUGUAUUCUCAGGGAUACGCAUACCCCAGUUUGAAAACUAAAGGAUACUAAGAGAUAGCUCUUAGAAUCACCACUGUCAUGUCCUAUGUCAACUUAAACAAACAGAUUACCUUAGUUUCAGUUUCUCACUCAGGAAGUAGGUAUAAGAAUGUGGAACUAAGCUGCAAAUCCCAAAUUGUUGGUGCUCGCAGUGUCAAUAUACGUGCCUGAGAGACAUGUAUUUGAUGCCUUGGGUCAUCUUUAACCUUUUCUUCACGUAUUUUCAGAUAAAUACUCAAUUAUCCUGGAUACUUCCUAAAUUCAGUAGAAAACUUGUCCUGGUAGCAAUAGUCACAGCCAAGUUCUCGAGUUUCGAAAGAUGAACCUCUAUGCUGCUUUGGGACUAUUUGGCCGCAAUCCCAGAAUGGUGUUUCUGUGUACACAGCACUGGGGAAGUGAAGUUAGAAUCACAGGUAUUGAGCCUGUUUCUUCUCUGCCUUCACAUCCUCCUGUAGCAUUUUCUGUGUCUGGACUAAGUUGCUUUCCUUCUCUCAUCCAUAACUAUACUGAUCCAUUUCUCUUUUUCUUUUUUUCUUGUGGAAAGAACACUUAACAUGAGAUGUAUCCUCUUAACAAAUGUUUAAAUGUACAAUACUUUAUUGUUGACUGGAGGUACAAUGUUGGACAACAGAUCUCUAGAACUUCUUCUUCUUCUUUUUUUUUUUGAGGAAGAUUAGCCCUGAGCUAACAUCUGCCACCAAUCCUCCUCUUUUCUGCUGAGGAAGGCUGGCCCUGAGCUAACAUCCGUGCCCAUCUUCCUCUGCUUUAUAUGUGGGAUGCCUAGCACAGCAUGGCUUGCCACUUGGUGCCAUGUCUGCACCUGGGAUCUGAACCAGUGAACCCAGGGCUGCCAAAGCAGAACGUGCGCACUUAACCGCUGCGCCACCAGGCCAGCCCCCUAUUCAUCUUCUUUGACUAAAACUAUCCCUAUUGAUUAAUAACUCCCCAUUUCCCCCUCCCCCAACCCCUGACAACCACCAUUUCAUUCUUUAAUUCUAUGAAUUUGACUAUAUUAGAUAUCUCAAAUAAGUGGAAUCAUGCAAUAUUUGUCCUUCUGUAACUGGCUUAUUUCACUUAGCAUAAUAUCCUCAAAGUUCAUUCAUAUAGUCGAAUAUUGCAGAAUUUCAUAUUUUAAAGGAUGAAUAAUAUUACAUUGUAUGUAUAUACUACAUUUUCUUUAUCCAGUUGAUGAACUAUAGGCUGUAUCUACAUCUUGGCUAUUGUAAUGGUGUUGUAAUGAACGUGGGAAUGCUGUCUCUACCAGAUCCUGAUUUCAUUUCUUUUGGGAAAAUCUCUACAAGUGGAAUUGCUAGAAUACAGUAGUUCUAUUUUUAAUUUUUUGAGGACCCUCCAUACUGUUUUCCAUAGCAGUUGCACCAUGUCAUUCCUGCCAACAGGGUGCGAGGGUUCCAUUUCUCCACACCUCACCAUCACUUGUGGGGUUUUUUGGGUAAUAGCCCUCCUAACAGGUAUGAGGUGACAUCUUGUUGUGGUUUUGAUUUGCAUUCCCCUGAUGGUUAGUGAUAUUGAGUAUCUUUUCAUACACCUGUGUACCAUUUAUAUGUCUUCCUUGGAGAAAUAUUUAUUCAAUUCUUUAGCCUAUUUUCUUCUCUUUUUGCUGAGGAAGAUUUGCCCUGAGCUAACAACAUCUGUUGCCAAUCUUCCUCUAUUUUGUGUCUGAGCUGCUGCCACAGCAUGACCACUGACAGAUGAGUGGUACAGGUUUCCACCUGGGAACUGAACCUGGGCCACCAAAGUAGGAUAUGCCAAACUUAACCAGUAGGCCACUGGGGUUGGCAUUUUAGCCCACUUUUUAAUGGGGCUAUUAGAUUUUUUGUUUUUUGCUGUUGAGUUGUAGGAGUUGCCUUAUAUAUUUUGAGAAUUAACCCCUUAUCAGAUAUACGCUUUGCAAAUAUUUUCUCUCGUUCCAUGGGUUGCCUUUUCAUUCUGUUGUUUCCUUUACCGUGCUUUUUCAUUUGAUGUAGUCACACUUGUCUGUUUUUGCUAUUGUUGCCUGUGCUUUCGGUGUCACAUCCAUGAAAUCAUUGCCAAGACCAAUAUCAUCAGGCUUUCUUCCUGUGUUUUCUUCUAGCGGUUUUACACUUUCAGAUCUUACAUUUGAGUCUUUAGUAUAUUUUGAUUGUUUUUAAUGUAUGAUGUAAGAUAAGGGUCCAAUUUUAUUCUUUUACAUGUGGAUAUCCAGUUUUCCCAUCACCAGUUAUUGAAGUGAUUAUUCUUUCUCCAUUGUGUAUUCUUGGCAUCCUUGUGGAAGACCAGUUGACCGUAGAUGUGUGGGUUUAUUUCUGGGUUCUCCACUCUGUUUCAUCGGUCUGUAUGUUUUUAUGCCAGUACUAUACUCGUUUGAUUACUGUAGCUCUGUAAUAUAUUUUGAAAUCAGGAAGGGUGAUGCCCCUGGCUUUGUUCUUUUUCAAGAUUGAUUGACUAUUUGGAGUCCUUUGUGCUGCCAUAAGAAUUUUAGAAUAUUUUUUUCUAUUUCUGUAAAAGAUGCCAUUGGGAUUUUGAUAGGGAUUACAUUGAAUCUGUAGAUUUCUUUGGUGUGGACAUUUUAACAGUGUUAAGACUUCUACUCAAUGAAAACAGAAAGUCUUUCUCUUUGUGACUUCUUUAAUUUGUUUAACCAGUGUUUUAUAGUUUUUAUUGUACAAGUGUUUUAUCUCCUUAGUUAAAUUUAUUCCUAAGUAUUUUAUUCUUUUGUGUGUGUGUGUGUGUGAAAAAGACUGGCCCUGAGCUGACAUCUGUGGUCAGUCUUCCUCUUUUUGCUUGAGGGAUAGUGGCCCUGAGCUAACAUCUGUGCCAGUCCUCCUCUAUUUUGUAUGUGUGAUGCCACCACAGCAUGGGUUUGGUGGGUGGUGUGUGGGUCUGGGCCUGGGAUCCAAACCUAUGAACCCUGGGCCACCGAAGAGGAGCGUGAGCUUAACCCCUACACCACUGGGCCAGCCCCAUUUUAUUCUUUUUUGUACUGUUGUAAAUGGGAUUGUUCUCCAAAUUUCCUUUUUGGAUAGUUCAUUGCUAGUUUAUAGAGGCACAACUGAUUUUUGUUGGCUGAUUUUUUUAUCCUGCAAUUUUACUGAAUUCAUUUAUCAGUUCUAAUAGUUUUUUUAUGGAGUCUUAAGUUUUCUCUGUGUAAGUCAUGUCAUCACAUCUGUAAACAGGAACAAUUUUACCUUUUUUUUUUUUUCUGGUUUGAAUGCCUUUCUUUUCUUUUUCUUGCCUGAGUCCUCUGACUGGGACUUCCAGUACUAUGUUGAAUAGAAGUGGAGAGAAUGGGCAUCCUUGCCUUGUUCCUGAUCUUAAAGGAAAAGCUUCCAAUUAUUCACCAUUGAGAAUGGUGUUAGCUGUGGGCUCACAUGUGGUCUUUAUUAUGUUCAGGUACAUUCCUUCUAUACCUUGUUUGUUGAGAGUUUUUAUCCUGAAAACUCUCAAAUGCUUUUUCUACACCUAUUAAGAUGAUCAUGUGAUUUUUUUUUUUGAAGAUUGACGCCUGAGCUAACAUCUGUUGCCAAUAUUCUUCUUUUGUAUUUUUUCUUUUUUGUCUCCCCAAAGCGCCCCCAGUACAUGGUUGUAUAUUCUGGUCAUAGGUCCUUCUGGCUAUGCUGUGUGGGACACUGCCUCAGCAUGGCCUGACGAGCAGUACCAUGUCUGCGCCCAGGAUCCAAACUGGCGAAACUGUGGGCCACCGAAGAGGAGUGUGCAAACUUAACCACUUGGCCAUGGGGCCGGCCCCAUGAUCAUGUGAUUUUUAUCAUUUAUUCUAUUAAUAUGGUGUAUUAAAUUAAUUGAACAGUCGUUGAGAGUUAUUGAUGAUGAUGUAUAUCCUUGUACCCCUGGGAUAAAUCCUGCUUGGUCAUAGUAUAUUAUGCUUUUAAUAUGCUGUAGGAUUCAAUUUGCUAGCAUUUUGUUGAGGAUUUUUGCAUAUAUUUUCAUCAAGGAUAUUGGCCUAUAGUUUUAUUUUGGUGUCUUUGUGUGGCUUUGGUAUCAGGCCUUAUAAAAUGGCCUUAUAAAAUGAGUUUGGGAGUGUUCUGUCCUCUUCAGUUUUUUGGAAGGGUAUGCAAGGGAUUGGUGUUAAUUCUUUAUGGCUUACCAAGCAGUGCCAUGUCUGCACCUAGGAUCUGAACUGGUGAACCCCGGGCCGCUGAAGUGGAACGUGUGCACCUAACCACUGCGCCACCAGGCCAGCCCCAUCUUUUUAUUGACAAUAGAAAAUAGAAGACAAUGUGUAGGGCUGUUACCGAACUACAGUGGGUCCGCUUCUUAUGAGUUGAAAUCAAAGCCUUCACCAGAAGUACUGGUCACACAAAGUAAUAUUUAUUUGCAGCAAAUAGAAACCAUUGGGAAUCAUUUCCAAAGCCAAGCAAGGGAAAGCAGGGGCCAUUUAGGUCAGAUGAGGAAUGAAUAUUCAAAAGAGGGAGGUGGAUAUUCGCUUGUGCAGGGUCAGUUGGAAAACAUGCUUCCACAUACUUCACAUGUUAUGGUAAUAAGGCCUAAGCUCCUCCUGGGGCAGAGAUCUUAACAUUGAAAUGAAGCAAAGGUCAUCUCUUGAGCAUUUCUCAGCCUGUCUGGGCAGGCAUAGCUCUUGUGGUGGAGUUUGACCUGUUCAGAGAGGUUGGUGAUUGCAUCUCUUAACAUAACUAAAAAAACAAUUUGGAGAAACGGUUAAGUGCUUCUGAAACCUCCUUUGAGUUGCUUGGGGCAAUUCGUUGGUGAAAGGACCUGUUGCAUAAUUUGUGAGGCCCAGUGCAAAAUGAAAAUGUGAACCUCUAGUUCAAAAUUUAUUAACAACAUGGAGACAAUGACAGGAGAGCAUUACACCAAGUGGAAGUCUCUUCUGAUGGCAGGACCCUGUGCAACUGCCCAAGUCGCAUGCCCAGGAAGUCAGCUGGGACAAUGUGUUGUAGGGUAAUAGUAAAAAUUUAUGUGGGCAACUCACACUUUAGUCUCUGGGUCCUGUUAAACUCUUUGAAACAUAGAGAUUGUCCUCCCCAGAAUCAUCAGUAUCAUUAAUUUCUUAGGAGCCUUCUGCCUUUGCAAAUCCCCGUGUUUUGGAUCUGUCUGAGUUUUAAAAUCUCAGCCAAGCCAUAUGGAUACCAUCCUAUCAGAAGAGACAAAACUGAGCCUAAAACCAAGCAGAAAGAGUGAGCGCAAUGAAGAGGACUCUCCAUGCAUAACUGGAGAUUUCAGCCACCCACAUUUAUUCCAAGUGCAGUGUCGCAUUUUCUGGAAAGAACUGACUUCUUCCCCUUGUUCUGUUUCUAGAGCCCAGGACCAUGGGUGUGUUUCAUGGCAGAGAAAAGUGAAGAGGAGAAUUGUUUGUGUGUUUGAAGGAGAAACAGAUCAGCAGCCUUUUGUUUUGGCUCCUAAAGUAUGUAGGUGCCUAUUUCCAUUAUCUCUACAAAUAUACCCUUGCUGGUCCUCCUAUUCUGUAGGGGUGUUUCCUUGUCUAUUACAUGCUCCUUCCCUAUCUGUGACAUUUGAGUUUUGAUAAAAAUCCUCUUCUCUCUGGAAGUGUUGUGACUGGUAGUUUUUUCCCACAAUGUCAUUGCAGCAAAUGUUUCUGGUGGGCAUAGUCUCUACGUUUGGUGGAGAGGUCUUCCUCACUCUGGUAUCCGAUCAUCUGAUGUCACCAGAAGACUAACCAUUUGGCCCUACUACAUAUAAAACCAUUGCGGUGAAAAAGGACAGCAUGGGCAUCCUAGAGACGGAAGUUGGACCUCGUGACUGAGGCUUAUGCCCAAGAUUCUAGGGUGAAACAUUGCUUGUUCCAAUGAGACUAUCUAAAGACUAUUUGAUACAAGUGUUGCUGAGAUGAUACAGACUUUUUAGAUAAGUGAGAAAUGAAUGUCUAGAAUAUUUUAAAAGCUACAGAAAGUAGACAGAAACAUUUUCAUUAGGGAUAGUUUAUAAAGGAAGAGAACGGUUUUCUUUAAGGAGCAAGGAAACUGAUAUUUAUUGAGCACUUGCUGUUUACCAGGCACUGUGUAUGUGUGUAUGUGCGUGUAUGUGUAUGUGUCUGCUCACAACGGCUCCGUGGGGUAGUGAUUAUUAGCUCCGUUUUAAUAAUGAAGACAUUGUGGCUCAGAGGGAGUAAGGUGCAAAGCCAGAAUUGCGAGACAAGAUUGUUGGCCUCCCGUGUCCAUGUGUCCACUCACUUUUCCUUUUGAAGGUCUCAGGUAAGGGGUAGCCUCACUGGGAUUUAGGCAGCCUGCCCCAGGGUCCUUGUUCUGAACUACUGUGCUCCACUGCCUUUUAAGAGCAAAUUUAUCUUUUUACCAGGGAGUGAUGACCUUCAGAGGAAUCUUUCUAUCUAGAUAAGCAAAUUCAUAGAAUCCUGAUAGUAAACUGGAAUGUUAAUUGUUCUAAUAUUAUAUUGUUUUGACUUUCUUUAUCAGUAAUACUGAAUAUGGACUGAAGGUCAGAUGACUCCUGUCCCAAGUAAGGGACUCUGAGCACCAGGGAAAAUGAUUCUUUUUAAAGUUUUACUUUAAGUAUUUCAUAAUUUACUUCAUUUUCCCCCAGUUGUACUGGAGGUAUCUUUGGCUUAAAGAUCCCAAGGAUUGAUUGGU